rnacentral:rRNA from 1 species
AAUUGACCUCGGAUCAGGUAGGGAUACCCGCUGAACUUAAGCAUAUCAU